rnacentral:lncRNA from 1 species
GUGGUUCAGGUGGCUCAAGUACCUCUUGCCCUCGUGACGCACUCAAACUAGGAGUGUGUGCCAAUGUGCUAAACGGGUUGUUGAACGUGACUUUAGGUCAACCACCAGUUACCCCUUGUUGCUCCCUCCUCAAUGGUCUUGUUGAUCUUGAAGCUGCAGUGUGCCUUUGCACUGCCCUUAGGGCAAACAUUUUGGGCAUCAACCUCAACCUUCCAAUCUCACUCAGCUUGCUUCUCAAUGUUUGCUCAAGGCAAGUCCCACGUGAUUUCCAAUGUGCUUAAUCAUCAUGGUCUAUGAUAUGCACAAGUUGCUUCGUGCUUAUUCGUAGUUGUGGCUUUCCGUUAAUGUCUUUUAUUUUCAAAUUUCAUUGCUCAUGGUGCGAUUCCUAUACGUGCAUGGAUGGUUAACUUCUCGUUAUUCUGUCGCUUUAAUUAGUGUUUGUUUUAUUUAGCAAAGUGUCGAAUUAAAUAAACUCCCGAUGCUUUUCUUAUGUAAAAGCAAAAGGAAUCAAAGAUGAUAGUGUUAUUUAUUUGACAGAUAAAUGAUUAAUGUUACGAACACUUCUUAAUUUUUAUUGCUGUCUCUUUUUGUUUUUUCUUUUUGCUGAAUGAGACAUGAGAGCAUGGCUGAUCUGGAAAUUAAAUUAUUUUUCUCUUUCUAGCUAACUUCUGUUCAAUGCCUGACAUGAGGAAAACAAAAAUUCAAGAAAAGAAUAAAAUCUAAAGCUAACAUGCACAGGCACCAACACUGUAAUCAGCCCGUGACUAAUGUACUUUAUGACAUCACGUGCAAGCAAUAUUAUUUUAUUUUAUUAAAAAAACUGAAUAUAUAUAAUUAGCUAAUUAAACUGAAUCAAAAUGAUAGGUUUACGACUUUGGGCCAAUUCGUUCAUUUGAAUAUACAUUGUUCUGUGCCUGCUUCCAAGAUAUGCAUACGUAAAUCAUUCCCUCUCAGUAAUGAAGCAAAUGCAUCUUAGUUUUGUUUCACCCGAACAAGUGGUCCCUAGCUCCACUUUUGCUCUACCGAUCAGUUUAUUAACCAUAGUAGAAGUAUAUUUGGUUGCACAAAUUCCAUAGAUAUAUUAAGCAUUUAUUCCGAUUUCAAAUAUUAAAAAAACAUUUUUUUUAUCUCAAACAUAUUAUUUUUAACUAUCUUUAUCUUUGACUAAAAAAACUAAUUAAUUUUAUCUUAUUUAAUAUUAUUAUUUUUAAUAUAUUUUUCAUUUUUAAUUAAUGAUAUUUUUAUUUCUAAUAUCAAAUUGAAUGAAUAAUACGUUAAAAAAUAUUUUUAAUUGAGAUUGAUGUAAUUAAAUAUAAUUAAUUAAAUUUUUUAAUUAAUGUGAAUAAUUUUUUUUUCUUAAUUUGAGACCGGAUAGAGUAGAUGAGAAGCAAUGGUUUCUUACUUUUGGUUCAACUAAUGCAUUUUUCAAGAUGCAUAUAUAUAAAUAAAUAAAAAACACACACGCACUAAAAGUUCAGCCUCCCACAUGUAAUUAAGGAGGAAAGAAGUUGGGGAGAUUAGAAUCAGGUAGAAUGGUUUAUAAUUUGCAAUUCAAAUGUAUGAUUUCAUACCUGUAAGGCUGUAACCAGUUGGCACUAGUGUAUUUUCUUUUUCUUUUUCUUUUCGUAUUUCUUGCACCGUUGCACAUAAGAAAUAAAUAAAUAAAUAAUUCCACCACACAUAUCUAUUUGUUGUGUAAACCAUAUGACACAUUGGUUUAACUAUUUUAUUGAAGAGAAGUAGUACAGUGAUUAUUGAGGUUUAUGACAACAGGCUUUUCGAUUUUCGAAGUUCAAUAAUUUCUAUACAACUAUUUUUAAUUAUAAAUACACUAUUGGGAAUCUAUUAUCGUACAUUAUCAAUAUAUAAAUUAAAAUUAUCUAGCAGCUUGUCAUGUGUCAGUUGCUUGCUGGACAGUGCAACAUCAUUAAUUUUUUUUCACUUUUUUGUCUCUUUUUUUUUUUUCAUUUUCUCAUUAUUUUUUUUAAAAAAAAUCUGUGCAAAACACAGGCCAUACACCUAGUUAAACAUAAACCUAUAAUCGUGCACGAGCAUUGGAAAUGACUUUCUGGAGUUUGUCCUAACUUUUUUUCCGCAAAAAUUUGAAAGCUAAAAUAUUAAGUAAGUUUAAAAAAUAAAUUAUUUAAUUAGCAAUUUUCAUUUAUUUAGUUUUAAAGCUUCUUUUAAAUGAAAAAUUGUUCGGUAGUUUUUUUAAAAAAAUAAAUUUGUUUAAAACUAACUGACACAUUCAAAGAAGAAUAUGUUGGUAAAAAAAAAUAUUAUACUUUGUACAAUUGAUUUAAUCAACAUAACUUUUUAAUGAUAAUAAAAAUACAUAAAAUUGAGCAUUAAUGUUUCACUAAUCAAACUAAUUUUAAAUAAGUAUUCUUUAUUACCAUUUUUUACUAAAAAGCAUUUUCUAUAUCACUUGGCACAACAAAAUUGUCUCCCUCAUGAUACUUAAAUAUUCUUGACUUUCUCAAACAAUAAAUUAAAGGUUUGAUGGAUUACAAGUAAUCUACUCAAAGAGUAAGGAUGUCAAGUUAAAACACAAAAACAAGUAAUUUUUCAUAGUAAAGGACUGUAAUUUUUUCCCUAGAGCAUUUCGUCCUUCCAAUGAGUAUCAAAGUGUCACUGCUCUAUUUCUUGAAUGCCUGAUAAUUUCUUUAACUUGUCUCACGAUUCUUCUACGGUUCAAUCUUGGAUAUUAUAGGCUUCAUUUGAGAGGACCUUAUUGAGUGAGAGCCCAUUGAUAUUUUCCUAUUAGGAAAUUUGACACAUGCUACUUUUGAUGUGUCCAUUUCUGGUGACGAGAGAAAUAAUAAGACAUAAGUUAUUAGAGAUAAGGGGAGCAACAUGAAUACUAAAUCUUGAAGCUUAAAGAAGUUUUAUCUUUUAUAUAUCCAACUCAUUUGAGUGACAUUUGUAUUGAUUGUUGUGUUGUUUAUUACAUUUUAGUCUCUAUCUUUUCAUGUGUACAUCAUGCAUCAUCAUAUAGGAGUAAGGAGAUUGUUUCUAAAGUUAGAAACUUUCUUCAAUGCAUAAAACUUUUUGUUUAAUUGAUUACAAGACUAAUCGUAAUCGAUUACACAAGUGUUUACAGCUUGUAGAGAGACUUUCGUAUUGGUUUAAUCGAUUACAAGCUAAUCAUAAUUGAUUACACAGUUCAAUUGAGACUAUGAUUGGUUUUUCAAGAGUUUCUACUUUAAUCGAUUACUAGAUAAUCAUAAUCGAUUACUUUAUUCUUAAAAGUAUUCCCAUAAGUGAUAAAAAAAACACUUUAAUCAAUUACAUCAAGAAUCUAAUCAAUUACAUUGUUCUUAAAAGUUUUUCAAAUAUUGGGAAGAACACUUUAAUUGAUUGAAAUGAUAAUAUAAUCGAUUACUUCUUCGAAAUAAUCAAUUACAUUGACUUUUUAAUCGAUUACAGACAUUUAUAACUAUUUUCUCUAUAAAUAACUAGUUUGUAUUCUCACUUAUGUGUGAGUGUGCAAGCUGAAAUAAGUAAAAGAAAGAGAGAAGAUAAAGUGCUUAGAAAAAAUGCAACUCACAAUUUCUAAAAUUCGUUUUUGAAGAUCUCAUGGUAAAAAGUGAGUUGUGAAUUUCUCUUGAGUUCAAGAAGACACGUAUUCAUUCAAGCAAGGUUAUUGUGCAUGAUUGAUCAGGUUGUGUCUCUCCUUGACUCAAUUUUUCAUGCUAGAAUAGGUUUUUCUAGUUUGGGUUAAGGGUAGGUUUCUCUUAAACUCUUAUUCACAAAGGACCCUAGGGUUAGAUGCCUUAGUCUUUUUUUUUUUAGAAACUGAUAUUGAUUGUGAUUGCUUGUAAGAAUUCUAUACGCAUAAUGAAAAUCUAAUUUGGGUUGGAUUAGCUUCUUUAGAGACAGAGAGUGAACUGGUAUAAAUACUAGUGUACUUCUUGUCUUGAUCUUAUCUUUCUUUUUCUCGAUCUAGUCUUGAUCAAUUUAAUGAAGGUUAAAGAAAUAUCUUUUUGAGAAAGUACUUAAAAAAAGANNNNNNNNNNNNNNNNNNNNNNNNNNNNNNNNNNNNNNNNNNNNNNNNNNNNNNNNNNNNNNNNNNNNNNNNNNNNNNNNNNNNNNNNNNNNNNNNNNNNGAUUGAUUAAUAUUGGUUUAUAAAAAAUUUGUGAUGCGAUCCUUGAAAAAGAAUUUAAUAAAUUUUUUUAAAGUCUGAUUUGAUAUAGAAACCAAUUCAUCCCUUCUCUUUGUUUGUGAGUUCUACCAUCUUUUUCAUAAGUUUUUUGAGGUGUUAGACAUCUUUUUUGAGUUUGGUUCUAACAAUCUUUUUCUUUUUUUAUGAUGACAAAUCAUAUUAAAUUUUGAUCACAAAUAGCAUAAUCAUGUAAAGAUAUAUAUAAAAAAUAAACAUGAUAUGUUAUGUAUCAGAGCAUAAAGGAUAGAAAGUUUUACAAGAGCUGAGGUAUCAAAGCAACACAUAUUAGAUUAGAACAACAAAAUCAAAAGAAAGACAAUUGUAUCAAAUUAUAACAAGGUAAGGAUGAUGCUGGUCCCUAAUAAAAAUUUUGUUGCAUUGGAUUCCUAAUAUAUUAAAAUUUUUAUUUUGAGUUUUUACGGUCAAUUAAGUGAUGAUAUGACAUUCUUUAAGUGAUUGAUAUAUAUUGAGAAUAUUUAUUUAUGAGAUACCACAUCAUCACUUAACUAAUAAUCCACAAUAACUCAAAAUUAAACAAAAGCUUUAAUAUACUAAAGAUUGAAUGUAAUGAUCAACUUUUUUUAUUAAGGCCCCAAAACAAAAAUUUAUCAUUUAUCAAGGACUUCAAACAUAUUUAAGUCUAAUUAUUUUUAUGUUUAUAAACUUUUUAAGCUUAAAUAUGUCUGUGAUAUGUGAUAAAUUAGUAAAUUUUGUUCUAAAUCUCUAAUAAUUUUUUGUACUACGAGUCUUUAACAAAACAAAUAUUUCAUUUUGGGUAUAUGUUAUUUUGUUAGUUCUUAUAAUAUUUUGUUUAUUUUGUGUUAGUAUAUAUUUUAAAAAUAUUUGAUAGGGAGUAACGGAUUAGAAAUGACCUACAUAUUUUAGGGAUAAAAAUAAGAAAAAUAAUAUAGUAUAUAUAUAUAUAUAUAUAUAUAAAAGAAACCCAAAAUAAAAAUUUCCUAAUUUAUCAAGGACCAAAAUAUAUCUGAACCAAAUCUUUAAUAUAAAAACAUUCAAAAAGCGAUUUUCUAAUGAUUUAAAACCACUAGAGUAUUUAACUCAUAUGGUUUUGUGGUGGUUUUUUUUUUUUUUUUUACAUAUUUUGGAGAUUUUAAAGAAAAAUAAAUAAAAACAUGAAUGUGAAAUUGUGACGAUUAUUUAUUUUACAUAUUUUGACGAUUUUUAAAAAAAUAACUGAUGGUGAAUAAUUUUCACAAAUUGUAACAUUAUUAGUGCAGUAAAAGAAAGAGACUAAAUUUAGUUUUUUUACAAAUUUGAAGGAAUAAUAAAAAUAAAUUUUUUUAAGGACAAAAAAAUAAUUACUCAAAUUUAAAUAAUUAAAAACAUAUUAAGUUUAGAUAUUAUGACAAAACUUUUAAAAAGGGAGGAUCGAGAUUAAUCUAAUAAUAAUUGAGUGAACCUCCUUUUAAUCAAUUCUUGAAUUUGUAAAACAUUUUCAUGGUAGUUUCUUGAAAUUAGAAAAUAUCUAAUAAAAUUUUGAAAUUAAAACUAUUACUUUCUUUGUUUCAUUAUAAUUGUUGUGUAAGAGAAAAAAAAUAUCCUAAAAUAAUUAUUAUUUUAAUUUUUUAAUGUAAUAUUAAUGGUGUUUUUUCACUAAUAAUCCCUUAUAAUAUUAAUUGUAGAAAACAAAAUCUAUAAAUGAAUUAAUGAUGAUAUAAAGUUACUUUUGAAAAUUACUACUCUACUUUAUAUAUUUAUUAUUUUUUCUUUAUCUAUGUAAAAACAAUCUAAAACAACUAUUAUUUUAGGACAAUUUAAGUAUUAUUUUAGUCUUUAAUUAAUACUCUCUCCAGUCUCCAUUACAAGCAAAAAUUGACAUCACACUUUUUUAAGAAAAUUAAUUUAUUCAUUAAAUUGUAUCAUUUUCAAUUAAAAAAUAAAAUAAAAUUCUUAAAUUAUUCUUUAUUAGAAUUUGAUAUUAAACAUAAAAAAGUGUUUGAUAUUAUUAAAUGAAAAGUAUUUUAAAGAGAGACUAAUUAAAUAAGAUAUAAAUAAAUAAAUUUUUCUUAUAUUAAAAAAUAAUAAUAAAAUUUUAUUGCAUAUAUUCGAGAUAAAAGGAAAUAUAAACAACAUACUAACAUAAUAAUUUCUAAAUUUUGCAACUUACUAUCAUUAUAUGAAGCUAACGGCAUAGAUUAAUAUUAUAACCUAUUUCAAUUUCACAUUUAUCUAAAUCCAAAGACUACUAGCAUAACAAAUAAAUUGAAGACUAAAACCAGAAUUAAAUCACUCAAUAAUAAUUAUAACUUGUACUCACUCCGUAUCAAAAUCACUACAGUAGCCUUUAAAAAAACUCAAAUUAACUGAUGAGACAUUUUUAAUGAGAUAUUUAAAUAUUUAUUUUAAUUUUAUCUUCUACUAAAUAUUUUUGUUUUGGAAUAUUUAAUAUUACUCCCUUCCAUCUUAAAAAUAUUAGAAAAAAAUUGAUUCACGUCAAUUAAGAAAAUUAGAUAAUAACAUUUAUAACUACAUCAAUAUCAAUUAAAAAAAAAUAUUUUUUAAUUUAUCAUUUAUUGAAACUUGAAAUCAGAAAUAAAAGAAAUAUUAAAAUUAAUACCUUUAUUAAAUAAAUAAUAUUUUAGAGAUAAUAAUAUUAAAAUAAUUAAAAUUUUAUUAUAAUUUAAGACAAAAGAAUAUAUUUUUUUCUUCAUUAUAUAUUUGAUACCGACUUGAAGGAGUACAUUUAUUGAAACUAAGAAAAAAAUAAAAUAUUUUAAUAAAAUUAUUUCCUAAUAAAUUAAUACUAAUUCUGUUUGAAUACUACUGUUUUCUUAAUAUCUGUAAAACAAAAUGUUUUCUUAAUUCUGUUAGAAUAUGUGCAAUAUUUAUGCAGUCAAUCUCAUGAACUAUUUAUUGUAAUCAGGAAUCAUGGACAGGUGGAACGUUAGUUUCAGUACCCACAUUACUUUUUUGUUCUCAACAAUUUGUUUACAUCUGCGUCAUAAAAUCUUAAGGGUUGAAACCUGCAGUCCUGCACAUACUAAAGCUCAGAAUACUCCGUAAUUUAUUGCUCAGCGUUGAUUAAAUUAAUGUUCUACGUUAGUAUUAUACUCCUUUCUGAGAUCGCAGCUUAAUUAGACCCUCCUUUCCGGAUGAAUAUAUAAUUAUUAACUUGAAGUUUUCUUACAGAUAAACGCAAUCCAGAUUAGCCUGUGACUGCGACAGCAAAUUACUACUAAAAGCAAAUUAAUGGUUUCCACGCGUUUGGGCCAUGGCAUGGUCACAUGAAAAUUCUUUACUAGGCUUUUUAUAUUAUACUAUAAUAGCAAUCAUAGAAGCAUUUACAGAUUAGAGAGUCACGGGCUUCGUUUAACCAAAGUGGGCUCCAUUAAUAUUACACGCUCACGCACACCUGGAGGAUCAAGAUCUCAAUGUCUAACGGUUAGGAAUGUGAAACACCUUAAUUCGACAAAGAACUUUGGGGUAAAUAGUCAUUUGAUCAUAAAAACAUGAGAUGCUGACACCUUAAUUCGUGAAAGGCAAAAAUUACAAAGAUAUUUGUUAUCGCUAACAUUCUGACAUGUUUUAUUCACACGUGAAUAACACAUGACAGUUAAGUGUUAUUCACAUUGGUUGUCACAUAUUUUAAAAAAUAAUUUUUUUUAUUCGUCUUUAAAUUUAAUUUCUUAUUGUUUUUUUGGUAUAUCAAGGUCUAAAUUUAAUGAAUUAUUGAUAUUUUGAUCCUAAACUUAAUUACUUAUUAUCAUUUUGAUUUUUAAAUAUAUUUUUAAAUUUUCAAUCAAAUCUUACUUUGCAUAUAAAUUAUUAGCAUAAUUUAUUAUGACUUUCACCUCCACCAUCUACAUGUCAAGUAAACCAUUCAAGUGAAACAAUAAAUUUGAAUAGAAAAUAACACAAAAAAUAUCUAAAAAAAACUAUUUAUUUUUUCCUUAACAAACAUUGUCUAACUUUAAAAAAUUACAUUUUAUUCAAUUAAAAAAAUCAAAUUACCUAUUUAAUAUUCUUAAGUAACCAGUACAUUCAAAAUUCUUUCAUGUCUCAUUAUACAUGUGACAUUUAAUAACAUUUUUUUUGCCUAACAUUUAGUAAAAACAUUGCAUUUAAAAAAUAUCAUCAAAUAUAAAUAAAUGUUACUAAUAUAUUUUUGCGAAGAAGGGAAUGAGAGAAAAGUCACGAGUUCGAUCCUCUUGUUAACAAAAAUUAACAAACUUACAAUUAACAUUUGUCGAUAAAAAAAACUGAUAUAUAUUUAUAAUAUUUUAUCAAAUGUUGUGUAUAACCAUGUUACUAAAACCUUUAGCAACAUGAGCUAUACACAAUGAUCAAUAAAAUUUUGCACAAAGAUAUUAGUAACAUUUAUUCAUAUUUGAAAAUAUUUUUUAAAUGUUGUCAAAAUCUUUUAGCAACAUUUUUACUUAGUGUUAAGCCAAAAAAUGUUGCUAAUUAAAGACCACAUGUGUGAUAGUAUCUAUAUAUAUCUUGCGGUAAUAAUUCAUGAAAAUAACAACUUUUGUUGUUUACAUUUUUUGCUUUGCUUGAACAUGUUACUUUGAUAAUCAAUAAUUUACCUAUUGAUCGCAUGGAUUAUGUGUCAUGCCUUUCACUUACACCUCCUCAUAUUAAAAAAAUUCCACCCGUUACAUUUCAAAUGUACUCAAAAGAAUAAAAAAAGAUAUGUGCUUUGUGUGCCAUUAGAGAGCCACUAUCCACGCACUGGCCACUCAAGUACUUUAAUAUAAAACCCUUGAACAAUAAUGUAAAAAUCACAAAAAUAAGACCUAAGACAAGGUGUAGGACACUUACCCCAUCACAAAGGUAUGCAUGUAAACAAAUAUUUCUAACAUUCUUAUUUUUUUUUUUUUUAUGAUUUUCAAUUUUUUUAACUAUCUUUUUGUGAUGACUGUUAUUCCAUAAAAUUAAUCUAUUAUACUCAUAUUAAUAACAUACAAGUUAAUAACUUGAUUUAGAUUGAAGCUUUGGUUUAGAACCUUACAAAAUUUUGUUAGGUAUGUCUUGGAUUUAGGUGCUAGCUAUUGUUAUCUAAUUAAAUCACUUAUAAAUUAGAUUCAUAUAUAGUUAUAUUAUAAUUCAAAUGGUGGACUUGGUAAGCGAAAGGUGAAAAAUAUUACGGAUAAGAACUGAAAGUAAGGACAUAUAGUAACGAUUAUGCUAAUAAUUUACAAACAACAAAUGACUUAAUUAAAAAUUCAUAAGUGAUUAAGUUUAAGGACUAAAAUAUUAGUAAUUCUUGGCUACUCAUUUCAUUAAUCUAAUCAUUGAAUUUUUUUUUAAAUCAAUAACAUUUACUUACAUCAAAUUUAUUUAACAAAAUAUAAAUUUUUUAAAUUGUUAUAAAAAUUAAUAUAUGUACUUAAUAAGAACUUUAAAUUAAAAAUUAGAUUAAUAAAAUUUAAUACAUACAAAGAAUAAUUGAAGGGGUAACUUAACCAAAAGUUAAUUUUGAGUAACAUGAUCCAAGAGUUAGUUCGAAGAUAAAAUUGUUCAAUUAAAAAUUAUAUUAGUAUAAUUUAAAUCCUUUCACACAUAUGUAUAAAGUAGAGAAAUGAUAUUAAUACAUUUUUAAUCAGUACUAUUACUUAAAUUUUGUUAAAAUUCUAUUUUUUUUAUAAAUUUUAUCUUAUUUAUUAGUUUCUACCCAUAAUUUUAUAUUUUCUAAUAAAUUUUAACCAUCAUUAUUCGUUCUCUUAAUAUCAUGCUACGGGUGUCCAAAAAUGUAAAAGUUAUGAUAUACAAACACUUAUUUAUUUUAAACAUUUUCUAACCUUUCUCAUUUCUUUUCAUGAUUUUUUUUCUAUCAUAUCUAUAUUUUUUUUUCACUCUCUAGGUGUAUCAUAGUAUAAUGAGUGUCCAUAAAACAUUUUACAAAACCUAAUUAUAAUGGGGCUGCCAUUCAACGUGCAAAAGUAGUGAUUGAAAAAUCGGCGAUUCCAGUAAUGAACUUCCGGUGCUAUCGAGUCGUAGGUAGGUGCAUAACUUUUCUACGGAUCCACAAAUUGAUGGGAGUCCCCACAUCACCACACAAAUCAUCCAAAUCCUAUUUCAUCGAUUUUAUUCGCCAGCUAAAACUCAUUCAAUAACGUCCAUAGUUGCUUCAUUAAAUUAAUUAAAUAUUUGAGUUCAUUACUCCUCUCCCAAACCCGUUUAACAUUUUUUUGUUCUAAAACAAUUCACCCCACUUGGCUUUCCAAAACACUAUAUAAACCACCAUUCACUUCAAAUAACUCCCAUCCCUACAAACACUCUUCUCUUAAGCUCUAGUAGUUAAGAAACAUUAGUUGAAGAAAAUAAGAAACAUUAUACCUAGCUAUUAGAGUUUAAGAUGGCUUCAAAAACUUGUUCCUCCCUUGCCCUUUUCCUCACACUCAACCUCGUUUUCUUCUCACUUGUCUCUGCAUGCGGUUAUACACCAUGCCCUGGUCCAAACCCAAAGCCAAGGCCCAACCCCAACCCUAACCCUAACCCCAGCCCAAGUGGCUCGUGCCCCCGUGACGCACUCAAACUAGGUGUAUGUGCCAAUGUGCUAAACUUGGUGAACGCCACUUUGGGUCAACCACCAGUUACCCCUUGCUGCACCCUUCUCGAUGGUCUCGUUGACCUUGAAGCUGCAGUGUGCCUUUGCACUGCCCUCAAAGCAAACAUUUUGGGCAUCAACCUCAACCUUCCAAUCUCCCUUAGCUUGCUUCUCAAUGUUUGCUCAAGGAAAGCUCCACGUGAUUUCCAAUGUGCCUAAUCAUGGCCCAUGAGCAAGUUGCUACGUGCUUAUUCCUAGUUGUGGUUUUCCGUUGUUUUUUUUUUUUUUUGAAAUUCCAUUUAUCAUGGUGUGAUUCUUGUUCGUGCAUCAGUGCAUGGAUGGGUAAAUUCUCGUUAUAUUCUGCCGCUUUAUUGAUUGUUUUAUCAGGCAAAGUGUCACAUUAAAUAAAUUCCCAAUGCUUAAUUUCUUAUGUAAAGCAAAAGGAAUAAAAAAAUGAUAGUGUUAUUUAUAUGGCAGAUAAAUGGUUAAUGUUGCAAAUACAUUUUAAUAUUUAUUGAUGCCAUUUUGUUUUGUCUUUUCGGUGAAUGAGAGCAUCAGCUGAUCAGCAAAAUUACAUUGCUUUCUAACUUGUGUCCAAUGCGCAACUAGAGGAAAACUAAUUCAAGAAAAGAAUAAAAAUGAAAGUAAGCAUGCACAACACUGAGCCCGUGACGAUUGUACAAAGCACUCCACGUGCAUGCACUAUUAUUUCAUUUAAAAAAAAAGCUCAGAAUAAUUAGCUAUUUAAACCAAGAUACAUAUUAAAUUCUAUGGUACCACAGUAACACUUUUAGAGGUUUUGGAAAAUUUCAUAUUUGGACCAAUAGUUAUUAAGUUACUUAGUCAUCAAUUUACUAUAUGUGGUAAUGAAAUUGUUAUAUAUAUAUAUAUAUAUAUAUAUAUAUAUAUAUAUAUAUAUAUAUAUAUAAUUUAGUCCCUAAUUAAUUCAAAUAUUUUUUCUUUUAAAAUUAUUAUUUUUAAUUAUUUUAAUUAAAUAGAUAGAUCUGAUCAUUGACUCUGUAAAUCUUGAAGUUUUGGCAUUCAUGUGUCCUUCGACCUUAAAGAAGUGGAAAAAUAUCCAUGUUAAAUCUACUAUGGGGAAGGUUAAUUAAAAUUCAAUCCACAAUUGGUGACUCUAUCACUUACAAUGCUCUACCUUAUUCCAUGUUCCAAAAGAGCAUGUAAAAAAUCAUAUUUCCUCCAAUCUUAGUUAUAAGCAAAAAAGACAUUUUAUAUUUAUUAAAAAAAUUAACAAACUUUAUUAAAUUGUAUCAUUAAUUCCUAAUUAAAAAAUAAAUAUUUUUUCUAAACUAUUGGACUUUAUAUCAAAUAUAUAAAAAAAAUAAUCUUAUUAAAUGAAUAUAUUUUAGAGAGAAUCUUAUUAAAUAAGACAUAAAUAAUUCAAAUUUAAUAUUCUAAAUCCAAUGAAAUACUAAUUACUGUUCUUUACAAGCCUUCUGAAGUCCUUAGCUUGGUUCCUAAUCUAGAUCAGUCCCCCAGUUCAAGUGUAUGGAGAGGCCUAUGUCUUCCUCCUAACCCUCCUAUAUACUUUAGCCUUUAGAAGGGAUGUUCUGAUUAAUCGGGAUAUUCAUCGGUUGGUGUGAGUUGCGAUUGCAUCAAAAUCCCGUAGAUUGUGGGCUCUUACACAUCGAUGUAGGCCAAGUGUAGGUCUUUCUAUUGUGAGUGAUUUACCUCGGGACGAAUGAGGUGUGGCCCAAUGCGUAGUACUUCAAGCCACGAGUGGAGUAUAUAUGCACGAAGUGGCUUUGGUACACAACCCCUUAAGCCACAAGUGGAGUAUGCACAAAGUGGGUUUGUAGAGUUCGGGUUGACCGAGGUGUGGCACAAUACACAAUCCCUCAAGUCACAAGCUAGAGUGAAGUAUGCACUAAGUGAGUUUGCAGAGUACUAUCAAGAUUGAAAACUUGAAGGUACUUGAAACACACAUUGAAUUCUUAACAAAGUCAACGAUUAUAAAUCUUGCAAGAACACUCAUUGAAUUCUUUUGUAAAGAUAUAAAUGAAUGAAACACAAGUAAAAGUGUCAAAAAUAUCCCUGCUUAAUAUAAUAUAGAAACAAAAAAAAAAGACUAAUAAUACAUGAACCACGCCUAUUAUUACUACAAGAUUUUUUUUAAUGUUACACCCUAUAUUAACACCCAUCUUUUUCUCUAUCCCUCUCUUCUUCUCAUAUCAAAAUAUCUAUGAUACCUAUUAUCCCCCCCUCUCUUCUUCUCAUAUCAAAAUAUCUAUGAUACCUAUUUUACCAGAAAAAUACUUAUAUUUUUUUUAUAUUCAUGAAAUAAUCAAGNNNNNNNNNNNNNNNNNNNNNNNNNNNNNNNNNNNNNNNNNNNNNNNNNNNNNNNNNNNNNNNNNNNNNNNNNNNNNNNNNNNNNNNNNNNNNNNNNNNNAUAUAUAUAUAUAUAUAUAUAUAUAUAUAUAUAUAUAUAUAUAUAUAUAUAUAUAUAUAUAUAUAUAUAUAUAUAUAUAUAUAUAUAUAUAUAUAUAUAUAUAUAUAUAUAUAUAUAUAUAUAUAUAUAUAUAUAUAUAUAUAUAUUUACAUAAUACACGAACUACUUGCUAAUGAUUAUAUAGACUCCAAUCCCAAUCCCUCAGGUGGCUUCUGCCCUGGCGAUGCACUCAAACUAGGCAUAGGUGCCAAUGUGCUAAAUGGGCUGCUCAACGUGACUUUGUGUCAACCACCGGUUAUAUCUUCUUCUUCCCUCCUCAACGGUCUCAUUGACCUUGAGGCUGCACUGUCCUUAGAGCAAAUAUUUUGGGCAUCAACCUCAACCUUUCCAUCUCACGCAGCUCACUUCUCAAUGCUUGCUCAAGGCAAGUCCCAUGUGAUUUCCAUUGUGCCUAAUUACCCAACAUAUCAUAUAUAUCAUCGUACCUACUUUUGCUUUGUGUUUUCCAGUUGUGACUUUCCUUUCUUUUUUUUUUUUCAAAUUCCAUGUGUGGUUCUUGUACGUGCAUGGAGGGUUAGCUUCUCGUUAUUCCUUCCUUUCAGUGUUUUUGUAGUUAUCUGGUAAGAGUGACGCGAUAUAUAUUAUAUAUAGAAGCUCUCGAUGGUUGCUUGUGUAAAUCGCAAUGUACAAAAGUUGAUGAACUAGUCUGUUAUUUAUAAAAAGAAAACCAAACACAAGCGCUUGCAAAUGACCUCGUUAUUAAUGCUUCUAUUAUAUAUAUAUAUAUAUAAAGAGAUCAAAUAUCAAUAUAGUUUUGACCAACUAUUAUCUCAUUUAAUAACUUUCAAUUAAUUAAUAUUUUUGUUAAAACUCGUUAUUUGAUUAAAAAUUCAUUUCACAUGAAUUAAAUAUAUAAAAUUUUAUAUUAAUAUAAAAUUAUUUGUUAUCUUAUUAUUCAUAUAAACUAAAAUUGAUGUAAUAAAAAAAAUUAAAAUAUAUUAAAUUAUAAAUCAUUUGAUUAUUUUUUUAUUAUUGUUUAAUUUUAAUAAAAUUUAACACAUAUAAUAUAUAUUGAUAAUAUGUAAAUAUAAUUUAAUGAUCAAAUAAGUAAAAUUCACAAUUUUUUAUCAAAUUAUAGAAUAAUAAAAUAUUAAAUUAUAUUAAUAUAAUUUCAUCUAAUACAUAUUAAUUGUAUUUCAUGUGUAAAGAAUUUAGUAUUUUUUUAAUUGCAAUUAGUCUUGUAUAGUUUAAUGAUAUUUUUACCAGUGACUUGGUUUUCAUAUUGUUUUCCGUUAAGGCAUUAAUGGUCAUUUUCAUAAACAUUGGAUUUGGUAAAAGUCGAAAGGAUAAGACGAUUUUGCCAUAUGCUUAACUUGGCACUCUAUGGCUUGGCCUUUAUGGCUAAUAAGUAACACAUUUGUUUUUAAAAAUGUAUCAUUUGGCUUGAUCUCUUUGUUGGAUUUGAUUGAAUACUAAUCUUGGUCGUGGCAUAUAAGAAUAUGAUUUGUCCACCACUCGUAUAAUGACAUACAAACUAGCCUAGUUUUAAGCCACAACUUCUAACUUUGCAUCAUAUUCGGUUUCUAUGUAACCAAAUACACCAUAUGAUGCAAAGCCACAAAAUCUUCCAGCACUCUAUGCAUUUCUUUCCAUUUGCCAAUCCUAAAUUCGAUAUAAAAAAAUGUUGUAUUCCAUUAUUUGGUAGAACCGUAUUCACAUCUAACUACUGGUACCAAGUAGUCUCUUUUGAAAUGGGGAGAUUAUUAAAGUUAAACUCUUUUAGAAUGGAAAUAAAAGUCUAAUUAUGUUUAAAAAGUUUUAGAGUUUAAUAUUUUUUCAUAUAUAUUUUCUUAAUGAAAAUUAUUACACUGUUAAUUUGUUAUAAUUUUUAAAAUAAUUAUUACAUUAGAUAUAAUUUUUAAAAUAAUUAUUGUAAAUUAAAGCUAACAAUUUUACUGUACACAAAAAUUUAUAAUUGUGUGAUAAAACAAAUAUAAGUAUAUUUUUAAAGCAAAAUAUAAGUAUAUUCUAAUUAAAUACUAUUAACAUUUGCUAAGGCUAAUAAUUUGAAAACUUUGCAUAAUAUUUUGUUUUUGUUUUUGACAAUCGUGUAAUAUAAAAUUGGUUAAUGUGACUUCACGCCCCACCCCCAAAUUAUGAAGAUUUCACGAGCCAAAAACGCGUGGAAAACUUAGAUUUGAUUUUGAUAUUAAUUGGACAUCACAGAUUAAGUCAAUAAUUGCGGACUUGUUCACAAAGGAAUGUCUAAACGAAACUCUUUUUAAAAUGAAAAAAAACGUAGUACAACGUUCUUCAUUGGCUUAUGGGCCUUUGCUUGUUAGGCUUCUAGCUAUUAUAAGCUCCUAGUUGCAUGCUUCCUGUCGAAAAUUGAUCAUAUUUACAUAAUUGUUUUUUUUUUAACUUAAUACUUUCGUCGUGCAGUGACGACUGAUCCACGUAUCAACGAGAGGAUGCACUUCCAACCCUUCGCUUUUUUGGAAAACACACACACACAUAUAUUUUUUAAAAUAUGUAUAUUUUAUCUUCUUAAUUUUAUAUAUUUGAAUCAUCUAUCCUUAAUUUUAUUAGUAUUUUCAUAAAAUAUUUUAAACAUAAAUUUAAAUAAUAUAAGUACAUACACACUAAUUUACCCUUUGUUCCUUUUUCAAUCCUUAAAAUUUUAAGGCGCAAAUGAAUAAAACAACAAAAAGAUAAGAUAUGUAUUGAAAUUAUACAUAUGGUUCCACCUUAUUUCUGGUUACGGUACCCAGUUUAAUUACAUAAUAUAUUGCUUAUCAUGAAAGAAACGGGAAAAAGGAAACAACUAACAAAAACCAAAUUAUAUAUAUAUAUAUAUAUAUAUAUAUAUAUAUAUAUAUAUAUAUAUAUAUAUAUAUAUAUAUAUAUAUAUAUAUAUAUAUAUGAAAUAUAUAUAUAUAUACACAUAUAUGAAACCAUCAAAUCACAUAGAUUAUAGUUGAAAAUAUCAUUUUUAAUCAAUAGGAAAGGUAAAAGUCUCACUAUUUACGGGAAAUAAAAGAAUUAACUACGACGAAAUUGAUAUUUUUUUUCAAAUUACCUUUCUAAGCCUUUUCAAUCGGUAAAAUAUUUUCUUUAAUUUAUUACACGUAUUUUUUUUUUUACUUUGAGAAAAAAUAAUUUUUUUGGUUUUAUAUUAUUUUGAAAUACUUUUCAUUAAAUAAACAUAUAUAUAACCAAAAAAUAUUAAAAAAUAAUAACUAUUGAGGUAAAUUUAUUAUAAAUUUAACUAACCUAAAUAACUAAUAAUCAUUAUUCACUUCUUAUUUUUGAACAAAAUAUCUACUAUUUACUAUUUAUAGUUUAAUUAUAAGAAUAUAACUUAUAAACACUGUACCUUAAAGUAUUUUUUAUAUUAAUUUUUAAUCAAGGUUUUAUUUUGAUAACCAACUCCAACUUAAUUAAUUAUAACUUAUAUUACGUGGAUUAUGGAAAUAAAAUUUAACUAUUAAUCAUUGCCUUCAUUUUAAAAUAAGUGUCACAUUUAAUUAUUUAAUGUAACAUUAAUUGUUUUUUUUUAUUAUUUCUAAUAAAUAUCACUUUAAUUUUUUAGUCUAAUAUUAAUAUUAUUUUUUAUCUAUUUAAUAAUAUUAUACUCUAUUUUAUUUAUUAAUUAACUUUUUUAUAUGUAUAAAAUAUUAUACAACCACACUUAUUUUCGGACUAGGGAGUAAAAAAAACAUUUAAGAAACAAGAUAGUAAGUUUUCUUCAAAUUCAUAAUUAAUAGCUAUCAGCCAAUUAGCUAGUGGUAGUGUGAGGAUAAGAUUGAAAAUGUAAUAAUAGCUAUUAGCCUAUUAGCUAGCGGUAAUGUGGGGAUCUGAUAGGCUGUCGGGAUACACACUUUUUUUUUAGAAGUUAUUCAAAUUUAAAAGAAGAUAGUUUUUUUUUAAAGACGUAUACGAGAAUAAAUUCUAAUUUUUACUAAUAAUUAUAAUUUAUUAGUUAAAUUCAAUGUUUAUAUAUACAAUUUUAAAAUAAUUUUUUUACUAUUAACGAGCUAAAACUAUUUUUCAUAUGACUUUUAAAAUAGUUAUUACAACAAUUUUAUCACAAAUAACAUUAUACAUCAAUAACUAAUAAGUGGUAAUGUUACAAAUUCCUGAAUAAGAUGACCCGGCCGGCCCGGAAAAAAACAAAAUUAGUCGAGAUUUUUAACAAGAUAUUUUUAUCAUCGAAAGUUAUAUACUAUCUUUUAAAGAAGUAGAAUAUGAAUUAAAGAAAAGCUUUUUUUGACACAUGUAUUAUUCUAUUCGCAUAGCUAAGGAUUGAAACACUAAUAUAUGUUUAAAGAGCUCAAAUUAUUUGCUACUUGUGUAAUAUCUUGUAGGGGUUGGAAAUUUUUUUAUUUGAAUCAUAUGUAUAAAAAAGUGCAUUUCAAUUUGAUGUCAACCAACACGUACUUUGUUCGAAACAGGCUGCAGGAAGAAUAGUCAUCAUCCUCAAAUUUUAGCUAUUUUAUUUAUUAAAAGUUUAAAUACAACCAAAUUAAUCACAUCUCGGAAGGAACUGUAAGGGAGAGUGUGUACUGUGCAGUCAAUUUCCAACCACAAUAAGCAAUACUUAUAAUAGGACCCAGUGACCCAUUAUUUCACAUGCAGAACCUUAUGUACUCUCAGAUCCACCGAUUGAUGGCGGUUCCUGCAUGCAUCACAAGUCACAAGCAUAUAAUACCUAAUUUAAGGUUUUUCCCCGCCAGCUAAAAUUCUCAUGUUCACUCAUGGUCAUUUCAUUAACAUACUAUUUAUUUAUUUUUUUGUAAAAAAAUUCAAGUGUUGAAUAUUAAUUUUGAGGUACUGAAUAUAUAAGUUUUAAUUAAAAAAAAUUAUGUUUUGGUUUGGGUAAUUGGCUCGAUUCAGUUUCGGUUGAUCUAGCAUGAUAUUAUUCCAUUUGGAUAUCUCGGAUAGUAACCCAAAUUUUAUGUUUGGUGAGACUUAUAAGCUAUUGUCUUUUUUUUUUCUUCUCAAUUUUAUGCUUAUUUUUUAUUUAAAAUUUAGUUUUAUCUUUUUAUUCAAUUUAAAAACUUUCUUAUUUUCUUUAUUGUCCGGACAAAUUCUCGUAUUUAAUUUAAUGUUCUUACAUGCUUACAACAAACAUAAUAAUCAAUCCCUCAAUUGUCAUUGUUACAUCAUUCUUUAAUAUUAGAUUUUUUUAAAAUUAUUUCAAUUUUAUAAUUAUUUACUAUUUUUUUUAUUUUAUAAUUACCUAUUUUGAUCCUUUGCAUUAUUUUUUAUUUUAUUGAUUUAAUUUGUUAAGGCAAAAAUAUAUCCUACUUUUCAAGAUGAUUAAUUAUUAAAAAUAAAAUUCAAAUAUUAAAAAUAUUAAUAUAUUAUUUGAUAUUUAUUAGAUAAUUUUAUUAAAUACUUUCUUAAUUAGCUAGCUUAUAAACUUAUAACUUUAUAGCUUAUAAACUUCCAACCAAUUUAUAAGUCAAUUUUUACGAGACAUAGCUAAAUUGAUCCAAACUGAAAAAAAAAAAAAACACACUAGUUUGGGUUGCUAGUAAAAUAAAAUAAAAUAAGACAACUGAAGCUAUCUAACUCAGUACUUAAUAAUUGAAUUGUCGAUUAAUUUAAGUUUGUAUAUUUUACCUAUAUACGUACAUAAUACACCAACUACUUGCUAAUAUUUUAAUAGAGUCGUCAUCAUAUUCUCAUUGACACUUCCAAACACCAUGAGCACUAUAUAAACCCCCCAUCCACACCAAAUUACUCCCAUCUUCACUUACACUCUUCUUUUAAGCUCUAGCAGUUAACUAACAAUAUUAGCAUUUGCUAGUGAUUAGGAAUAUAAAGAUACGCCAACCACAAACAGUUUAAGAUGGCCUCCAAAACAUGUUCAUCCCUUGCUCUUUUCCUCACACUCAACCUCCUCUUCUUUUCACUUGUCUCUGCAUGCGGUAGUUAUUCAUGCCCUAGUCCAAAGCCAAAGCCAAAGCCCAAGCCAAAGCCCAACCCUAACCCUAGUCCUUCUGGUGCAUCGUGCCCCCGUGACGCACUCAAGCUAGGUGUAUGUGCCAACGUGCUAAAAGGGUUGUUGAACGUGACUUUGGGUCAACCACCAGUUACCCCUUGCUGCACCCUUCUCGAUGGGCUCGUUGACCUUGAGGCUGCAGUGUGCCUUUGCACUGCCCUCAAAGCAAAUGUUUUGGGCAUCAACCUCAACCUUCCUAUCUCACUCAGCUUGCUUCUCAAUGUUUGCUCAAGGCAAGUCCCACGCGAUUUUCAAUGUGCCUAAUCAUGGCCUAUACACAACAUAUCAUAUAUAUCUAACGUGUUUGGAAACUCGUUGAGGAUGGAGAAAUC